rnacentral:lncRNA from 1 species
AUAUGAGGUGAAUAAGAAGCCUGAGAUUCAACGAUAGCCCAAUACCUAUGGAAAAUGAAGGACCUCUUAUUGGCUGUUAAGAGUUUAGAGGUGCAGCAAAUAUCGAGGUUAGAAAAUGCCCAAGUUGAUGCCUUAUCUUGCCUUGCCACCUUAAGCUAUACUGACCUCAAUAAGGGGGUCUUCAUCAAACAUUUAAAGCGACUGGGUAUUGAGGAACAACCUACCAUCCUAUUGGUC